GUGCCAGCCGCCGCGGUAAUACGAAAGGGGCUAGCGUUGUUCGGAAUUACUGGGCGUAAAGCGCGCGUAGGCGGCCUUGCAAGUUGGGGGUGAAAUCCCGGAGCUCAACUCCGGGACUGCCUUCAAAACUGCAAAGCUAGAGGAUGCGAGAGGUGAGCGGAAUUCCGAGUGUAGAGGUGAAAUUCGUAGAUAUUCGGAAGAACACCAGUGGCGAAGGCGGCUCACUGGCGCAUUUCUGACGCUGAGGCGCGAAAGCGUGGGGAGCAAACAGGAUUAGAUACCCUGGUAGUCCACGCCGUAAACGAUGGGUGCUAGAUGUUGGGGGCCUUUGGCUUCCGGUGUCGCAGCUAACGCGUUAAGCACCCCGCCUGGGGAGUACGGCCGCAAGGUUAAAACUUAAAGGAAUUGACGGGG
rnacentral:rRNA from 1 species